GGAGUUAGCCGGUGCUUCUUCUGUGAGUGAUGUCCUUCCUGCCGGCUAUUAACCCGCAGGCCUUCUUCCUCACUGAAAGUGCUUUACAACCCGAAGGCCUUCUUCACACACGCGGCAUGGCUGGAUCAGGGUUGCCCCCAUUGUCCAAUAUUCCCCACUGCUGCCUCCCGUAGGAGUCUGGGCCGUGUCUCAGUCCCAGUGUGGCUGAUCAUCCUCUCAGACCAGCUACGGAUCGUCGCCUUGGUGAGCCGUUACCUCACCAACCAGCUAAUCCGACAUAGGCUCAUCCGAUAGCGCGAGGACCGAAGGUCCCCCGNUUUCCCCCGUAGGGCGUAUGCGGUAUUAGCCUGGGUUUCCCCCAGGUUAUCCCCCACUACCGGGCAGAUUCCUAUGCAUUACUCACCCGUCCGCCGCUCGCCACCAGGGAGCAAGCUCCCCGUGCUGCCGCUCGACUUGCAUGUGUUAGGCCUGCCGCCAGCGUUCAAUCUGAGCCAGGAUCAAACUCUGA
rnacentral:rRNA from 1 species